UACGUAGGUGGCAAGCGUUGUCCGGAUUUAUUGGGUUUAAAGGGUGCGUAGGCGGUCUAUUAAGUCAGCGGUGAAAUACUCCAGCUUAACUGGAGGGGUGCCAUUGAUACUGAUGGACUUGAGUCAAGUCGAGGUAGGCGGAAUUGACGGUGUAGCGGUGAAAUGCUUAGAUAUCGUCAAGAACACCAAUAGUGAAGACAGCUUACUGGGCUUAAACUGACGCUGAGGCACGAAAGUGUGGGGAUCGAACAGG
rnacentral:rRNA from 1 species